rnacentral:snRNA from 1 species
GUGCUCGCUUUGGUAGCACAUACACUAAAACUGAAACGAUACAGAGAUUACCAUGGCCCCUGCGCA